UUACUCUUCGGAGUGAGAGCGUACACAGGUGCUGCAUGGCUGUCGUCAGCUCGUGUCGUGGGAUGUUGGGUAAGUCCCGCAACGAGCGCAACCCUGCAUUCAGUUGCCAUCGGUAAGGCCGGGCACUCUGGAUGGACUGCCGGCGACAAGCCGGAGGAAGGUGGGGACGACGUCAAGUCAUCAUGGCCCUUAUGUCCAGGGCGACACACGUGCUACAAUGGCCGGCACAACGGGAAGCGAAGGGGCGACCCUGAGCGGAUCCCACAAAAGCCGGUCUCAGUUCGGAUUGCAGUCUGCAACUCGACUGCAUGAAGUUGGAAUCGCUAGUAAUCGUGGAUCAGCCAAGCCGCGGUGAAUACGUUCCCGGGCCUU
rnacentral:rRNA from 1 species